AAUAGAUACCCGGGUAGUCCACGCCGUAAACGAUGGGCACUAGGUGCUUGGGGGAGCGACCCCCUGAGUGCCGGCGCUAACGCAUUAAGUGCCCCGCCUGGGGAGUACGGCCGCAAGGCUGAAACUCAAAGGAAUUGACGGGGGCCCGCACAAGCGGUGGAGCAUGUGGUUUAAUUCGACGCAACGCGAAGAACCUUACCAGCGUUUGACAUGUCUAGUAUGGUUACCAGAGAUGGUUUCCUUCAGUUCGGCUGGCUAGAACACAGGUGCUGCAUGGCUGUCGUCAGCUCGUGUCGUGAGAUGUUGGGUUAAGUCCCGCAACGAGCGCAACCCUCGUCCUUAGUUGCCAUCAUUAAGUUGGGCACUCUAAGGAAACCGCCGGUGAUAAGCCGGAGGAAGGUGGGGAUGACGUCAAGUCCUCAUGGCCCUUACGCGCUGGGCUACACACGUGCUACAAUGGCAGUGACAAUGGGCUGCGACCUCGCGAGGGGUAGCUAAUCCCAAAAAACUGUCUCAGUUCGGAUUGUACUCUG
rnacentral:rRNA from 1 species